rnacentral:rRNA from 1 species
AAUCAACGCUGGCGGCGUGCCUAACACAUGCAAGUCGAACGCGAAAGGGGAGCAAUCCCUGAGUAGAGUGGCAAACGGGUGAGUAACACGUGGGUGACCUGCCUUCGAGUGGGGGAUAACGUCUCGAAAGGGACGCUAAUACCGCAUGACAUCCUGCCUUUGGAGAGGUGGAGAUCAAAGCUGGGGAUCGCAAGACCUGGCGCUUGAAGAGGGGCCCGCGCCUGAUUAGCUAGUUGGUGGGGUAAUGGCUCACCAAGGCGACGAUCAGUAUCCGGCCUGGGAGGGCGGACGGACACACUGGGACUGAGACACGGCCCAGACUCCUACGGGAGGCAGCAGUGGGGAAUUGUUCGCAAUGGGCGCAAGCCUGACGACGCAACGCCGCGUGGAGGACGAAGAUCUUCGGGUCGUAAACUGCUUUUGUACGGAACGAAAAGCCCUGGGUUAAUACCCUGGGGUCAUGACGGUACCGUAAGAAUAAGCACCGGCUAACUACGUGCCAGCCGCCGCGGUAAUAC